CAGUAGCCACGGUAAUACGGAGGGGGCUAGCGUUGUUCGGAAUUACUGGGCGUAAAGGGCGCGUAGGCGGACAUUUAAGUCAGGGGUGAAAUCCCAGAGCUCAACUCUGGAACUGCCUUUGAUACUGGGUGUCUUGAGUGUGAGAGAGGUAUGUGGAACUCCGAGUGUAGAGGUGAAAUUCGUAGAUAUUCGGAAGAACACCAGUGGCGAAGGCGACAUACUGGCUCAUUACUGACGCUGAGGCGCGAAAGCGUGGGGAGCAAACAGGAUUAGAUACCCGUGUAGUCCCUGUCUCUUAUAC
rnacentral:rRNA from 1 species